rnacentral:lncRNA from 1 species
ACUUCGGAGCUCGCGAUAUAGACACCAUCACAGGCUAUAGGCACAAAAGCCUAAGCGAAAAGCAAAGAACCGAGCUCCCAGCUCGGAUGAACUCGCAACAGGAAAACACUCGAGUAGAAUAAAGCUAAAUACAGAAGAAAUAACAGAGAACCAAGGGCAAUCAUAAGAGGCACCGACCUCGAGAAUUGACCGCUCACACUAAACCAACUCAGCUGACCUAGAGAAAGGUUCAGGCAACAAAGAGCCCGCAAAUCGCUCGAGAGAAGACAACCCAUAAA